AUUGAACGCUGGCGGCAUGCCUUACACAUGCAAGUCGAACGGUAACAGGUCUUCGGAUGCUGACGAGUGGCGCACGGGUGAGUAAUACAUCGGACCGUGCCCGAUCGUGGGGGAUAACGGAGCGAAAGCUUUGCUAAUACCGCAUACGAUCUACGGAUGAAAGCAGGGGACCGCAAGGCCUUGCGCGGACGGAGCGGCCGAUGGCAGAUUAGGUAGUUGGUGGGAUAAAAGCUUACCAAGCCGACGAUCUGUAGCUGGUCUGAGAGGACGACCAGCCACACUGGGACUGAGACACGGCCCAGACUCCUACGGGAGGCAGCAGUGGGGAAUUUUGGACAAUGGGCGAAAGCCUGAUCCAGCCAUGCCGCGUGCAGGAUGAAGGCCUUCGGGUUGUAAACUGCUUUUGUACGGAACGAAAAGACUCUUUCUAAUAAAGAGGGUCCAUGACGGUACCGGAAGAAUAAGCACCGGCUAACUACGUG
rnacentral:rRNA from 1 species